rnacentral:sRNA from 1 species
UCCACGCCCAUGGCAUCCACGUCGACGC